UACAGAGGUCUCAAGCGUUGUUCGGAUUCAUUGGGCGUAAAGGGUGCGUAGGUGGCGCCGUAAGUCAGGUGUGAAAUUUCGGAGCUUAACUCCGAAACUGCAUUUGAUACUGCGGUGCUUGAGGACUGGAGAGGAGACUGGAAUUCACGGUGUAGCAGUGAAAUGCGUAGAGAUCGUGAGGAAGACCAGUGGCGAAGGCGGGUCUCUGGGCAGUAACUGACGCUGAGGAGCGAAAGCGUGGGGGAGCGAACAGG
rnacentral:rRNA from 1 species